UACGUAGGGUGCGAGCGUUGUCCGGAAUUAUUGGGCGUAAAGGGCUCGUAGGCGGUUUGUCGCGUCGGGAGUGAAAUCAUCUGGCUUAACUGGGUGCUUGCUUUCGAUACGGGCAGACUAGAGGUAUGCAGGGGAGAACGGAAUUCCUGGUGUAGCGGUGAAAUGCGCAGAUAUCAGGAGGAACACCGGUGGCGAAAGCGACUCUCUGGUCGGAUCCUGACGCUGAGGUGCGAAAGUGUGGGGAUCAAACAGG
rnacentral:rRNA from 1 species